rnacentral:rRNA from 1 species
GGGGAUUAUUGGCCAAUGGGCGCAAGCUUGAUCCAGCCAUACCGCGUGGUUGAAGAAGGCCUUCGGGUUGUAAAGCCCUUUUGUGGGGAAGGAAAAGAAGCCGGUUAUUCCCGGGUUUUCCUGACGUUACCCAAGGAAUAAGCACGGCCUACCUUCGUGCCAGCAGCCGCGGUAAUACGAAGGGUGCAAGCGUUACUCGGAAUUACUGGGCGUAAAGCGUCGUAGGUGGUUGUUUAAGUCUGUCGUGAAAGCCCUGGGCUCAACCUGGGAAUGGCGAUGGAAACUGGGCGACUAGAGUGUGGCAGAGGGUAGUGGAAUUCCUGGUGUAGCAGUGAAAUGCGUAGAGAUCAGGAGGAACAUCCGUGGCGAAGGCGACUGCCUGGGCCAACACUGACACUGAGGCACGAAAGCGUGGGGAGCAAACA